CGCAUCUGUGCAUGCAGCAUAUCAAUAAGCGGAGGAAAAGAAACUAACAAGGAUUCCCCUAGUAACGGCGAGUGAAGCGGGAAGAGCUCAAAUUUGAAAUCUUAAAGGGUUUCCCUUUACGAAUUGUAGUUUAAAGAAGUGUUUUCUGUUGAGGUUUUGGUAAAAGUUCUUUGGAAUAGGACAUCAUAGAGGGUGAGAAUCCCGUAUUUGACCUUUACUUUCAACUUUGUGAUACACUUUCAAAGAGUCGGAUUGUUUGGGAAUGCAGUCCAAAAUGGGUGGUAAACUUUCAUCUAAAGCUAAAUAUUGGCGAGAGACCGAUAGCGAACAAGUACCGUGAGGGAAGGAUGUAAAAGAACUUUGAAAAGAGAGUUAAACAGUACGUGAAAUUGUCAAAAGGGAAGCGUUUGACAGCCAGUGUUGUUUUUCUGAAAAUCAAUUAAAGAACUGUUUAUGCUAAGCUGUUUAGACUUUAUCAGCUAAUCUGUUUAGUUUUGAGCUUUUCUUUAAUGCACUUUUCAGUUAACAAGUCAACAUCAAUUUCUUUUGCUGUAAAAAAGCUUGAGGAAGGUGGCUUGAGAUUCGUCUUAAGUGUUUAUAGCCUCAUGCCUAUGCAGUCGGAGAGAUUGAGGUCUGCAGCGUAGAUCCUUCGGGGCUAAAUGCAUUUGUGCUAAGUUAUAACAUUUUAUAGACAACUUGUUGACUAUGAUUUGUCUUGUAGCUUACUCGCUUAUGUUAUUUUACCUACGCUUAGGAUGUUGAACGCAUGUCUCUCUCU
rnacentral:rRNA from 1 species